rnacentral:lncRNA from 1 species
AGGAUGCAGAGAAAGUUAUGAAGAGAGUUCUAUCUAAAAUUUUAUACACAUAUCUCUGUAUCCCCCUUCUCAGCAUUUUUUUUUCUCCUUGGCACUUAUCACUCUCAUGUGUGUGUUUGUUCAUGUAUUUAUUGACUGAGUGAUUUUUUUCUCUCCCAAUAAGCUGCAAACUCUGUGAAGACAGGGAUAUUUUUCCCAUUUUUGCCCCAUCAUGCUGCAAGCCCAAGGUACAAUUAGAACACAUCCAAUUCACUGUCCAUCUACCUGUGGCACUUCAACCAUGACCACAAACCAAAUCACUCUUCCUGUAUCACAUUCCCUGAGAGACUUUGUUUUCUCCCACAGGAAAGAUUUGUUUAUUUUUCUGAUUCAAUCAAAUGUACCACUAGUUUCUGCAGGAUUAUUUGUACCUCUUUCAGGAUCCUGAGGAAUUUGCUCCUGGGCCAUGAAGAUGGGAAGCUGAGUCAGAGUGCAGUUCUUCACCCAAUCCCACAGCCACACGUGCCUGCUUGCUCACGGGAUCUUCCCACUCUCCUCGGGAAGGCUUCCGAGCUGCUUCCUCAGGAUGUCCUGUGAUAGCAGCCUGACCUGUCAAAGCCAUGCGAAUACCAUCUGUUCAGUUAUAUAACUUGAGAUCUGGGAAGAAUUCUCAACGUAGGAUUUGCUGCCCAAAUCAAAUCAUUUUCAGAAAGGAGAUUAAGCAUUCUUUGCUGGGAAAAGGAGAAAUUACCAGAAAAAAUUAUCAUUUCACUGAGUAUAAACAAACCUUUGUCCAAAAUACACAAAUGAAAAUGACAAAUUUGCUUCAUUAAUAUUUGCUUGCAUUAAAAAUAUACACAGGGCUAUGUAUGGUUCAAUAUCUUAAGUGCAAAGUAAAAUCUUAAUUAGGAACAAUGGAAUUGUUAAUUUAAUGAAUCUUAAUUUUGUUUAGAUCAUUAGCCUGCAGUAUAAUGUCCCAAGCAGAAUUUGGGGUGGGGAGCUUGGUGGUGGAAGAGGAAGUGCUCAUUUCUACAGACAUGACAAGAUUAUUAACACUAAAGAAUGACUUUUCUUUCAUGGGAGGGGAAGAUAUCUGACCCACCAGCAGUCAGACAGAAACCCUGACUUGUGAUUUUAACAUUACCUUAUAUGACCCAUGGUCACCUUGUAUGACCAAAGAAAACCAUUUAUGAAAUAGCUGUCCGGAGUUCAAGAUUUAAAUGGUAACUUUGUAGACUAGGUUUUCUCUCAUCAUCUAAUUUACUUGCCUUAACGCUUGUUUCUUUGCCCUUAUUCCUACUGGCUCUCGAGUAUAAUAUCCUGAGAAUUUAUGUUGAACAGCACUAAUUUUUUCACUUGGAGCUAGCACAUGUUUAUGACUAGUACAAGUUUAUAACUACAAAAAACAGAGAUUUUGUCAUCUUAAACUGAAUUUACUGGGAAUAAAAUCAGUCAAUUCAGAAAAGUAUAACAAAGGAAAUAAAAAUCACCACAACUCCUACUACCUGAAGAUUAAAUGGUUAAAGUGUUUUGUAUAUUCUUCUGUAAUUUUUACACCUACAUGUUUUUUAAAUAAAAAUUAACCCUACCUAUAAACCAAACAAUAUUAUUUAACUAACAGGAGAAGAAUAAAUUAUAUUUUUUGAUUGGCUGUAUAGCAAAGAGAAUCCUGCCAUUCAGAAAAAAACAGGGUAAGACAAGGAAGGAAGCCAAAUAGAUGGACUGCAAUGGAAGUUCACCCAGAAUGAAUAAAUGAAUGAAUGAAUGAAUGAAUGAAUGGAGGAGCUAUUUUACUGACUGUGGUCAGUCAGGGAACACCUAUCAGAAAAAGCAGCAUUUGGCCGGGGGCAGUGGCUCAUGCCUGUAAUCCCAGCACUUUGGGAGGCUGA